UAGCCUCCUUCUCAUGUGUUAACCCUUCU
rnacentral:piRNA from 1 species